rnacentral:miRNA from 1 species
UGCACUUAAAGAUGAAGCCGGU